UGUUGAAACCUGAAAGAAAAAAGAGACAGAUAUGGGAAAGAGACAAAGGCCUGGAACUAGUAGUGGGAUUAUCACCAUUGAUCUCGACUCUCCAGCUUCAGAGGAUUUUGAAAAUCAUCCUUCUAAACAGUAUGCUAGAAGUAGGAGGAUUGCCAAAAAACAGGGUGAAGAGACGAAAUGCUCUACAAUAGUAUCUUCUUGUUCUGUAGAAACCUUUCCUCAUGGUCACAAGUCAAAGAAGAGAUUGAAGGGUAAGGAUGCUAUCUCUGAAUCGAAGAAAAAGCUGGACACUCGAGCAUUUGACAUCCACUUUAAAAAUUUGUGGAGGAACUUCUCAGAAGAUAAGAGGAUGCCCUUUACAUACUUUGACAGCCUAUGGUUUGCUGCAUACAUGACUUCAUCAUCCAAAGAAUGUAUGCUGACUUGGAUAAAGGAAAAGCACAUAUUUUCGAAGCCAUAUGUUCUUGUUCCUAUUGUUUACUGGAGACACUGGAGCCUCUUGAUCUUCUGCAACUUGGGUGAAAGUAUGCAAUCAGAAAGUAGUCCUCCAUGUAUGUUGUUGCUGGAUUCCCUUCAGAUGGCAGGCCCUAGACGGCUUGAACCAGCAAUAAGAAAGUUUCUAUUCGACAUUUACAAAUCAGGGGGCAGGCCUGAAAGUAGGGAGUCAAUUUUGCAAAUUCCAUUAUUGGUGCCUAAGGUGCCACAACAGAGAAAUAGUGAAGAGUGUGGUAAUUAUGUUCUCUACUUCAUAAGCUUGUUUAUGGAACAAGCUCCUGAGAACUUUCGCAUGAAGGAUUACCCUUCCUUUGUAAGCUUUUCCUCUUGCUUUUUAUGAAGUGUGGACCAUAUAUUUUUGUAUUGAGUGCUACUAUGUUUAAACUGCAGAUGACAGAUGAAUGGUUCAAUCUUGAAGGCUUGAAGAACUUUUGCGAGCAACUCAAACCCCUUGAAAAGUGAUUUUCUUGCGUUCCUAAGAAUCAAAUGAUAUAACUUUAUUAUUCAUGAUGGGAGGAUUUGAUAUUGUUGUAGUUAUAGUUACAUGUGGGGGUAUAGUUAGAAAAAGAUUAGUCUUAUUCAGGUCCCCUAACUAUUUACUCUAUACUAGUAAUUAUGGUUUUUUUGUAUAAAAUUAUCAUGAAGAUGAAAAUAGAAGAAAUGGAAGUUGAUUGUGCUGAUUGUGAGGUGCGGUUGGGAUUUUCCGAUUGUAGGUACUGGAAAAGUUGUUAGCUUAGUAGAUUUUCAGUUCAUGACAUGGUUCAUGGUUCAGUCUUCAGUAUAAAUUACCUGCUGGGUAAGGCUUCUUCGGACCAAAAUGAUACUUGUUGUACAAAAUUACCAAACUGAAAAGCCUGGUGUUUCAUCCCUAUGCGAUAAUGACAUGUUGUUGGCUAAUUGAGAGCUCACUUCUGCAACUUCUAGACACUCAAUUGGGCAGGCUUGUUGAAUGCCCCUACCCACAACUUUAAUAUAUUGGAUUUCCUCUUGGUGUUGCAAAAAAUGGCGAGAGUUGCCUUGCGCAGAACCAUUUCAAUAUAUGCGAGUUUUAUUAAUUGGAAGUUUGGAACCCACUUGCCUGAUUCAAUUGUUAAAGGUAGACGUGACCACUGGUGCAGUAUCGGAUUGAAAUUGUCAGUUUCAAUUUCGAUUUGAUUUUGGUUUAAUUUUGAUUGAUCGAUUUUGAUCCGAUUCAAUAAUAUGAGAAAUAAUAAAGAAAAGGAAAAGGGAGCUUAUUCAGUGUGCACUCAUUGACAAUCGUUUGAUCAAGUUUGAUCUGAUGGUUGUAUUUAAUUGGACUCGAGCGCAUGGCGUGUGCGUUAUCCAGAGCCAUAACGGCCACAAACCACCGCUUCGGAAACCACGCCAUAAAAAAAAAAUUAAAGAAAAAAAACUCUUUUUUGUUCUUAAUUUGCAUAUGAUGGAACAAGAAUGAAAUGGUUGAUCAAUUAAGUUGAAAUUCAACAUUGUUAUCAUAUAUGUGCUUUUUUGUUUGAUUUAUACGUUAAAUGAAGAAAAGUUACCAUUUUAAUUUUAAA
rnacentral:misc_RNA from 1 species